UAAUCCCCACACCUCAGGAUGUGACUGUUUGGAGACAGGGACUGCAAAGAGGUGAUUCAGUUAAAAUGAAGGCAUUAGUGUGGGCCUUAAUUCAACAUGCCUCUUGUCUUUCUAAGCAGAGGUGAUCGGGACACAGGUGGGCAUAUGGGAAGACCAUGCGAGGACACGGGGAGGAGACGGCCGUCUGCAAGCCAAGGGGAGGGGCCUCAGGAGGUGCCGUCCAGAACCAUGGAGCCUCCAGAACUGUGAGGAAACAAAGUUCUGUCGUUUAAGCCACCCAGGCUGGUAUUUUGUCGUGGCAGCCCUAGCAAACGAAUACACUCCCGAAGUGUCGGAGAUUAGUAACAGCCGGACAUGGUUUGGUCCUGGGCAUCACGGAGCGCCCGGCCGGUGAGAGGGUCGGGGAACGUGGCAGGUAACAGCAGCGCCGCUUGCUGGCUGCGCUGGGGUCGGGGUGCGCAGGGGUCUUCAGAAGCCACGGGGGCACGGCGGGCGACGGGGGACCCAGCAGGGAGCAGGCCUGAAUCAGGAAGGCUACAGGUUAGCAGACUGAGAAGAGAGGCCCUCCAGACAGAAAGGACAGCAAGGGCAAAGGCGGGGGAGCUGGACCUCAGGACCACCACCUUGACAGCCUCAGAUUUCACAUCCCUAGUGUGGGGAGAGCUUGAGUGAACAGCCAGGUCCUUGGCGUGGACUGGUCUGUGAUUUCUCUAAGGAACAAAGGUGACCUGAGGGAGGGAGCAGGGUGGGAGCCUUCGUCUGCCCUGUGAUGCCUCACUCACUGCGAUUUCUUGUCUCAUCUAGAGCCUGGGAGAAGUUGUUCUGCAGACUAGGAAAUCGAGGGCGUUACCUGCUGGACUGCCACUCAGGACUCUGAACCUUCCUGAAAGUGCCCGUUGCACGAUCUGCUUCGUAACCCAGCCCUGACCCCUGACGUUGGGCAUGGAGGGAGUGAAGCACUGUUCUUGUUUCCCAGAGAAACACAGCACCGGACAGGCGGACUCUCUAAACAUCCCUAUCAUGACAGCUGAAAAUGGAUUGUUUGUGCUUUGUAUUUGCAUUUAUUUAAUUAUUAGUAAAGUCACACAUUUUUCACGUUUUAAGCCAUUUGUAUUUUCUACUAAUAAUCUGGACCCCUUUAUCCAGUAAGGUCUUAGUAGUAAAUUGAAUCAUGUGUAAU